CUUAAAUUCAACCUGCAAAAUUUUGCUGAAAACUUAACCUACUGAUUUGAUGUGAUUUCUUCAUUCAUUGCCAUCCAAUAAAAAAUCAUGAAUUGAUUUCUAGUUCCCAAUGAUUUGUAAGAUAAAAAGCUUUUUUAUCAAGCAAUCUGUUUUUUUUUUUUUUUUUGUGUCAAAUUCCAAUUGUUACUUUUCAUCCAAACUUGUCACUUCUCAUCAAUAACAUAAGCACCCCAAAAUGAUCUUCCAGGUUUCCCAACUAGAGUCUGUAAUUUUAUUUUAUUUUUUUUUUUUUUGGGGGGGGUAAGUCUUACCCUUUUUUUUGGGAAAGAACUAGACACUAAUUGUUUCUCCCUUUUCUUAUAGAUCAUCUGGGGAGCUGCCUUUGAUAAUUCAAACAUGAGGGAAGAAAAAACAUACCAUCAUUCUUGUAACAAGGAUUGAGGAGUACCUGUAUUCUUGAAGGAGUCCGAACUUCAAAGCUGGCAGAGGCACUGAAGGAGAAAGUGGCAAAAGGGCUGGAAAAUGUGACAGCAUUCUCUAUGGAACCAAUGCUAGUGUUAAUUGUUUGGCAAAUCCUUUCAACCUUCAAGAAAGGUGUGGUGCCUACUGCCAAAAGGGGCAACAACUCAGAAGAUGCUGUGUACCUGAUGAUCAGAAUAUAAUAUAAGGACAAGCUCAACUAAAUUAACAUAUAAGAGAUAUUUCAAAGAUAGUAUCAUCAAGUUUCUGCUGCACAUUCAUCGCACACCAUCCAGGAUCAAUUAACAUUUGCCAAUCAUACAAACAUCACUUCGUCACAAUGUCACAUAUGAUGACUUUUUAAUGAAACUCAAUCCCCCGACUGAUACCAAAUACUCCCUGUGGUCCAUGCCGGUGGCAGAAGGCAUCUUAUUAAUAAUACAUAUUAGACAGCUCACUACUCUAGUUUUCUCAUUUCUGAUGUCUGCACUGCAGUUGACCCAGCUCCACAUGCAGAGAUGAUAGCCAAGUAGUGCCAUUUCACCUAAAAAUUGUCUGUAUCCUUCAGUAGAUAAUCCUAAUUAUCACGAGCCUUAGCAAGGACGUUUAGUCAAAAGACCGCUACACGUGUUUUCAUCAAAACAGAUUUUGAGAAUUGGUCUGUCUAGGGAUCUGUUUCAAUGCUUACUAGAGUGUGUCCUAUUCCACCAAACAUCUUUGUAGCUACACUUUGCUUCACGCAACAGAAAAAGGUAUCAAUUGAUUGCUGCAACUUCUCUCUGAUUCAACUACAAAUUGGCAUCCACAUGUAUAGAUGAUUAUAAGUGUCUCGUCAACCUUUUAUAGAGAUGUUACCAUUACCUUAACUUUUUAAAACAGCAUCCAAUGCUCAAUAUCCGUAAAAAUUCAUACGCUAACUAUAAAUUUUUCGGCAAGUUCAUGCAUUAACACUACAAAGUACAACAUUUACGUAGUUUGCAAACUUGUAUUGUUUAGUUCAUUUCAAACUUCUUGAGGUCGCCACAGAACACUGGGUUCAUAUUCAUGACUCUGCCCAUGAAAAACCUUCUUUCCCAACUUUAACAUCCAUGAUCAGAAAACACGUUAGGACAUAGAUUCCUGCUACACAGUUGGAAAAGUCAUUUCACACACUUGAGUUGUACUCAAUAUCCUAUAAGUAGAACUGUCUACGUAGGUUCAUUUGGCUUAUUUUGUGUCACUCCCAUGGACUUAAGCUUCAAGCAAGAUAGAAGUUAGAGAAACAAUCAUUUGUAUGCUUCAAGAGCUACCAUAGAUCUGUCGGCCAUCGAGAUGAAUUAAAAAUCUCCAAGGCUGAUUAACACUGGAACACAAGUUGCGGUGUACAUUACUUCGGCGAGAAAAGCUCAAGUCUGUGGAGUGUGGAUUUACAGGUGGUCUGUAGCAGUGUCUCUUGUAACCGCUUGAUUUACUUAGUUAUUGGAUUUAUGCACUUUUACGGCAUCUAGGCCUAGAGGUUGUACUGUAAGCAUUUAAAAUCUUAAUUUUAAAAUCAAUAAGAACGUAAAAUUAACUAAAAACUAUACAAAAACAGAGACAAUAAUAACAACCCUUAAUUAGAAUUAUCAAAGCUUUAAUAAACCUAGAUGUAUACAUGAGAAUAUCACUAUAUGAGCAAAGCUCAUUUUCUCUUAACAACCCAAAAGCUAUGUCUCUAUGUAACCUCUAUUUCAUAAACUAUUUUUUUCCAACAAAAAACAGGCAUAUCCAUACUACAUGUUAAAUGAUAUUUCUAUCAAUGUGCGUGGAUGGCCUUAGUUACCCUCUCUCUCACUCUCUCUAGCAUAAUCUAUAUAAGUAACCAAAUAGGAACUCCCUCUCAUUUCGAGUACAGAUUGAUAGGUUGAGAGAGGGAGAAAGUAUAAAGAUCCAUUGGCCAUUUGUCCCAAAGAAGCAUAAGCCUCACAUGAAAUGCGUAAAAAAGCGCAAACCACACACCUUGCAUAAUUAUCCCGCAGACUGGUGUAUGCCUUUGGAGGUUAAAGAAUAAAAUCGAAAGCCUUGAGGCGCUAUUUGGAAGCCAAGCCUUGAUGUGAGCAUCGUUGCAAGACUCAAACUUAGCUUCUGAGAACAUUGAUUCUAAGAACCAAGACAUUCAACACUGGCUUCAAUUUGUGACAAUGAAUCCAACACUUAUACAUCAGAGGAUGCACAAACAUGCAAACUGACCUUCGUAAACUGACCCAUAAGUAUGUCCUGUUUCUUCACAUUUUGUCAAAUCAAUCAUGUCAUCAGUGUGCCUCUUACCUCGCAAGCCCUCAGGUUUUACCAGUCUUAUUGUUUCAUAUAGAACUACCACCAACUAAAACUCCCUCAAUAAUGGCCAAUGGAAGUUUCCAAAUUGUCUACUAUCUAAAGUCUUUAGGUGCUAAUUUCCAAUAAGCUCGAAACAUCUCUGCUACUAACCUAGAUGACUUAAUUGUGAUAAGUUCUUCAAAGGUAGCCUUUGACUGAACACAACAGAUUCACCCAAUAUACCAAGCAAUUUUUCUAGGUUCCCUGGAAUUAAGCUGAAUGAGCUUUUCAAGGAAUGACAAAUCUAAUACUGCCUCCGUCCCAUUUUAUUUGUUUGCUUUAGACCAUCCAACUUAAAAGGGAACACAAUCACUUAACUUCAAAGUUUUGAACUUUGCAAAAAAUGUCCUUCCAUUCAAAUUAGACAUGUUCAGCUCUUUGAAAGAAGGGCGAAAGAGGAAACUCAUGCAAAUUUCAAAUUUGCACUUUGAAUUUCUAAAGUGGACAUACAAUUUGGGACGUGAAAUAGUCGAAAAGUGGACAAACAAAAUGGGACGGAGAGAGUUUUGUUUCGUUGCAGGGAACCAUACAUUAGAAAUGUAGCCAUCCAAUUCAGGUGAACGGGCAAGAAAUGAUCAUUUUUUAUCUUCCCAUAAUCAUUCUCGCGAAACAAACACUACCUUAUCUUUCAACUACGUUGCCUGUUAAGGAAAUAUAAUCCCAUAUUGCCUGGGAGUAGAAUGGGUGAUCACUUAACUUAACAUAAUGUUGUCAUCGUGGGAUGAUUGUAAAUUUGUUAAAAAGUGGGGUAAAACAGCCCCCACUCUGGUACCAUGUGCAUUCCCAUCAACACAACCACCAAGCAUUAACCAACACAGACAACAAAUAUAAUAAAACAACACAGUAACGACAAACUUACAACAAGACCCAAUUCCCGUCAAGAACCUCCACGGCCUCCAUCGGGGCAGGGGUGGGAUUCGCCGCCUCCAGCUGAUUAACCAACUCCGACACCUCCGCCCUCACCUCCGGCGAAGCCCCAAACCCUAAAUCCGUCCCGUAAACCGUAUCCGCCAGACACCUCUUCAGCUCCACCAGCUUAUCGUCUUCACCCUCGACAGCCGAAGCUGGCGCACUGCCGUUACCGGAUAAAACGUAGCCAUCGGAACCACCACUUCCGACCCCUCCCCACUCAUCCUCGUCUUUUGGAGGGUCAGCGUCCGAUAACUUUGUUGGGGGCUCGGUAUCCGGCUCGGACUUCUCGCCCCACUCGUCUACAAAUCCCGUUGAUUCUCCGGUGGCGUAGAAGCGGAAAGAGGGAAAUCUGGGGUUAGAGCAGGUGGUGGUGGUUUUGGGGAGGAGAGAGAAAGAGAGGGAAUGGGGGUUGGGGGUGCGGAGGAGGGAGGAGUGAGUUGGGUUAGGGUUAGGGUUAGGGUUAGGGUUAGGGUUUUUGAAGGGGAGAGAAGGAGGUGAAGUGAGGAGCAGAGCCAUACUCUGGAGGUGGAGACGGUCUCAGGGCUGCCGGCUGUGAGGGGAAAUU